rnacentral:snRNA from 1 species
CUCGCUUCUCGGCCUUUUGGCUAAGAUCAAGUGUAGUAUCUGUUCUUAAUAUACAUCAGUGACCAAAAUACAUUUUCUGAAAAAUGAAGACAGGAAAAUUUCCUGAGGCCUCUGAGUUCAGGGACGAAGGACACAGCACGCCUUGUCACCUCAG